AAUCCAAGAAGAGCGUUGAGACCUACAAGAUCUACAUCUUCAAGGUUUUGAAACAGGUUCAUCCUGAUAUCGGAGUCUCCAGCAAGGCUAUGGGAAUCAUGAAUAGUUUCAUCAACGACAUCUUCGAGAAACUAGCUCAAGAAUCCUCUCGUUUGGCUAGGUAUAACAAGAAGCCAACUAUUACUUCAAGGGAGAUUCAAACCGCUGUUAGAUUGGUACUUCCUGGUGAAUUGGCCAAACACGCCGUUUCCGAGGGUACAAAGGCCGUCACCAAAUUCACCAGUUCUUGAAUUAUGUGAUAUGGUACCUCCCUGUUAGGUUUAAUUUGGUUUUUUUUUUUGUUAAAUUAGGGUUUAUCUGGAGAUUGUUGAUGAAAUGUAAUGAAUUUUAGUUUUAAUAAAUGGUGUUUAAAAUUGUUCAUAUGAUUGUUUUAUUUUUUUUUUCCAUAUAUUCUUUCCAAUUGAUUCUGGCUUGUUAAAC
rnacentral:lncRNA from 1 species